GGAUAUUCUACACUUACAGCUUACUACCGAAAGACCUCCGUUCGACUCUCUGCAGCGGGAACCAGGACAUCCAAGCGAUCAACCCUCCUGCUAGACCGGGGGCAAUCGUAACAAUUGGUGGCAGCAGCGGGAUCAUCCUGGAAUUCCUGAAGAGAGAUAUCUAGGACGGAUGGAGAGUAACUACGACAAGCUGAAGCGUACCACGUUAAAGAAUUUACUCGAGAGCCGUGAAGGGAACGC